GAUGAACGCUAGCGGCAGGCUUAAUACAUGCAAGUCGAGGGGCAGCACAGGUAGCAAUACUGGGUGGCGACCGGCAAACGGGUGCGGAACACGUACACAACUUACCUUAGAGUGGGGGAUAGCCCAGGGACACUUGGAUUAAUACCCCAUAAAACAGGGGGCCCGCAUGGGCAUAUUGUUAAAGAUUUAUCGCUUUACGAUUGGGCUGCGUAUGAUUAGGUAGUUGGUAGGGUAAAGGCCUACCAAGCCGACGAUCAUUAACUGGUGUGAGAGCACGACCAGUCACACGGGCACUGAGACACGGGCCCGACUCCUACGGGAGGCAGCAGUAAGGAAUAUUGGUCAAUGGACGGAAGUCUGAACCAGCCAUGCCGCGUGAAGGAUGAAGGUCCUCUGGAUUGUAAACUUCUUUUAUAGGGGGCGAAAAAGGGCCAUUCUUGGUCAACUGACGGUACCCUAUGAAUGAGCACCGGCUAACUCCGUGCCAGCCGCCGCGGUAAUAC
rnacentral:rRNA from 1 species